AAUUUUGGACAAUGGGCGCAAGCCUGAUCCAGCCAUGCCGCGUGAGUGAAGAAGGCCUUCGGGUUGUAAAGCUCUUUCGGACGGAAAGAAAUCGCGCAGGCUAAUACCCUGGGGUCAUGACGGUACCGUAAGAAUAAGCACCGGCUAACUACGUGCCAGCAGCCGCGGUAAUACGUAGGGUGCGAGCGUUAAUCGGAAUUACUGGGCGUAAAGCGUGCGCAGGCGGUUUUGUAAGACAGAGGUGAAAUCCCCGGGCUCAACCUGGGAACUGCCUUUGUGACUGCAAGGCUAGAGUACGGCAGAGGGGGGUGGAAUUCCACGUGUAGCAGUGAAAUGCGUAGAGAUGUGGAGGAACACCGAUGGCGAAGGCAGCCCCCUGGGCCGAUACUGACGCUCAUGCACGAAAGCGUGGGUAGCAAACAGG
rnacentral:rRNA from 1 species